GAUGAACGCUGGCGGCGUGCCUAAUACAUGCAAGUCGAGCGAAGCUGGGCCGGGUGAGUAACACUUGUAUAACCUCCUCUACGCAUUGGAUAACUUCUGGAAACCGAAGCUAAACCGGUUCCUAAUAGAUGGGUCCGCGCUGCAUUAGCUAGUUGGUAGGGUAACGGCUUACCAAGGCAACGAUGCAUAGCCUACCUGAGAGGGGGAGCGGCCACACUGGAACGGAGACACGGUCCAGACUCAUACGGGAGGCGGGAGUAGGGAAUGUUACGCAAGGGGAGAAAGCGUGACGGAGAAAAGCCGAGUGAGGGAUGAAGGUCUUCGGAUCGUAAAACUCUGUUAUUAGUGAAGCGGUACCUAAUCAGAAAGCAACGGCUAAUUACGUGCCAGCAGCCGCGGUAAUUC
rnacentral:rRNA from 1 species